rnacentral:rRNA from 1 species
CGUAGGGUCCAAGCGUUAUCCGGAAUCACUGGGCGUAAAGCGUGCGUAGGUGGCGCGUUAAGUGAGAUGUGAAACCGUGUGGCUCAACCAUAUCGUCGCAUCUCAUACUGGCGUGCUAGAGGACAGCGGAGGCAAGUGGAAUUAGUAGUGUAGCAGUGAAAUGCGUAGAUAUUACUAGGAACACCAAUGGCGAAGGCAGCUUGCUGGGCUACUCCUGACACUGAGGUACGAAAGCGUGGGGAGCGAACAGGAUUAGAUACCCUGGUAGUCCACGCCGUAAGCGAUGCAUACUAGUCUUAUGGGGUAUCGACCCCCUGUGAGACGCAGCUAACGCGAUAAGUAUGCCGCCUGGGAAGUACGGCCGCAAGGCUA